GUGAUGUCUUACAAGAGCUGGCUGGCUGUGGACUCUCUAUCACCAGCACAAGAUGCGGCUGGGUGUCCCAAAUAUAGGUCUUGCUCCCAUUCUGCUGCUCAGUGCUAAGUGACAGCUAGCAAGCCAACACAUCUCAGUUGGAGACGUGGGGUGCUGCUGAGAUAGAAGUGAUUAUUGCAAUGCAAGCUCUUGAUCCAGAGCCUGGGAAGCUGGAUGUUGGAUGUCUUCGCAUCCUACCUCCUAUUUUAAGUUACUUCCUUUUUAUAGCAUAAUUUCCAGGUGGGGGGAUGUAUUUCUGUACAUUGAGUCUCCUGUUUUCCUUCCUUGAUAAGAGCUUUAAAUAGCGUGUAAGAAUUGUCAGCAGGUAGCUCUUUUAAUCACAUAGAAAUUAUUCUCUACAUAACUUACAGAGCUCAUGACCUUGGAGCACCCCUCUGGACCACUGGCUGAGCUGGGUGGUGAGGAUCGAUCACAGCCAAAUCGUGGUUCCCUGGUCCCAUCAUCAUAUCCUUGCUCUCCAUCCACGCCGCAGCCCCGUGCUUACUGUGCUCUCCCAGGCUGUUGGAUUUGGCUAUUCCAUGCCCAGGAUUAUCAUAUGGAUGAGAUGAUCAUUUCUGACUCCAUGAAGGUUUUCAGCUGUGGUGUUGUAAACAUGAGCAGAGCUCUGAUGAGCAGAUUGGCAGGAAAAAGCCAGACUGUCUGA
rnacentral:lncRNA from 1 species